UAGAAGAGAAACUAAUAUUUAGUACGUGGUAACACUAAGCGGGUAACUGGAGAACGGUAUGGAAUCGAAACGAGUAGGUAGGUUGGUUGCAGCAACCGGAAAACGAACUCGUACCGUUAUUCGCGCGAUUGUGAAAAUAAAUGUCAAAAUUUUAAGCAUCUAAUUAUAGCAACAAUAAAAGAAAGCUUUUUUCCGUACAAAAAUUUGAAUACUUACGUAAGUUCAGCACCCUCGGGAUAAGUGUAGAAUAAGUGCUUCUUUGUAUAAUCAACUGAUGAUUUGAGCACCUGUAUAACGACCACGGCAGUAGAGGCGGAAACCAAGUGAAUACCACCAGCUAAACGCUUAAACAUAUAGCGCGGAUUCUUAAAAGUGUAAAAAGAGAAAACCGAACCCAAACUCAUAACGAACACGGUGAUGCAGGCAAAAGAAGCCUGCGUGCGUAUAUAAUCUGUCAAAAGAAAAACAAAUAGUGUAAAAUAGCUGGUGUAAAAAAAGCAAAACUGCACGCUUGCUUACCCAUCAGCUCCAUAUCGAUGCCGGGGUCUUUGUUCAACGACUUGGGGUUACUGAACAUGUCAAUGUAUUUGCAACGUUCUGGAAAAAAUGUGAUGAUUUUUUAUUUCUGUUCGAGGAAAAGUUUGUGAAUUGUGAAGUAGUAUUUUAAGUGCGUGUGAGAAGAUCGGUUAAUUAAAAAAUAAAUAAAUAAAUAAUAAAAAGAAGCAAAAUUAUACAAAAAAAAACAAAGAAAUGGCAGUUAAUAAAUAUUUAAGUAUUCUAAUAUAAAUAAUAAUAAAAAUGUGAUAAAUGUUAAGAAAUGAGAAAGAAAAA